ACGGUUGUAAAUCAACACAUUGAUUUACGCAAAGCAUAAAUCCCCUGGUGAAACAACGGAAUUGCUGUGUGUAGUCUUUGCUUGCGUCUCCUACGAUGGGCUUUUUUUAAC
rnacentral:other from 1 species